CCCCCCUGAAUUCUUUGGUUUUCGUAUCCAAUGUUUAACCGUCCGUCUUAUAUGAAUUUUUUUUAUGAUUAGUAUUUUCAUUAUUGUUAGAUGAUAAAACAUAAAUAAUACUUUAUGCAUGACUUGUCUUCUAAAAUUUUUUUAUAAUUUUUUCAAAUAAGACGAACGGUCAAAUGUUAGACACGAAAAUCUAGGAAUUGAGUUUUU
rfam:Oryza sativa Japonica Group DNA, chromosome 11, cultivar: Nipponbare, complete sequence.